AAAAGCAUCGAAUCCAAAUCCAAAUCCAGUUGUUUUGUGCGCUUUGUUGCCUCGGCAGCCUCACCCUUCCUCGUGGAGUGUUUUCGAGGUUUUAGAUAUUUCGGUAGGUUUCACUCGAUUUUGCGAGAACGGGGAAAUAAGCGACGUCCACAGGGCUUUAUUUAAAAACUGCAAUCCUUCGAAUGUCGUCGACUUCGAGCGUAGGACGGCGUACAAGGUGUCUUGGGACGGCGACGCGAACACUCGAGGAGGCUAUUACGACGCCGAGAUCCUCGAACUGACGGGGCUGUGCAUUCUAGAAAGGGCAGUGAUCGGACUGUCCUCUCAUCUCGUCAACUUUUCUGUCGCUGUACCAUCAUAACGCUACUGUUCGAUGGGUAAUUCGUUUUCAGGACUACCUGCGGCUCGGCUGUUGAUGCGGGAGGUGCUGUAGUGUAGGGCCCUACUGCCUAACACUUGCUGACGAGGACAUCCUUGCAAAGAAUGAGAUCGUGGAUCCUAGCAUCGGCCUCCAGAAAAGGAAGGAAUGGCUGCUUUUGACUACACCUGAGGGAGAAAAGUACCGCCAGGCUGAAAGGGCAGCCCGGCACCAGAAGAUACGGCGGUACCUGUCAGAAAAGCUGUCCAAUCUCAAGCGAAAUCACUACAAAGGCUCGUCCCUUUGCUGCCUGUCCUCCCCCGAUGCGUGGUCCCACCACGGACUGCCCAUGCUGUCGCACAUCUGCCAUCGCUUGGACCCCAUGUUGUAGCCUUUUUACCCUUUCUUUCAUAUUAAUUUAGCUUAAUUUAUAUAUUGCCAAUACUAUUGAAAUGGAACAAAUGUACUAUCGCAGCCAAUAUGAGCUGAAACGCCACUGCACGUAACACGCGAUGAGAGGUGUCUCUCAAAUUGUUCAGCAAACCUUGGUAUGCGCUGAGGUAGAAACAAAUCACUUCUUGUGCUCGUUGCACCACUAUGCCGUUCCGUGUCAAUUUUCAGCUCAUAGUGGCACAAUGAGUGCAAGAAGUAACCUGCCUAAACUUCAGCAAACACAGAGGUUCACUGAAAAUCCGACAGGUGCCUCUGAUAGUACCACAUGCCAUGCGUCAUGGCGCUUCAACUAAUAUUGGUCACAAUAGUACUUCCUCAAAUGUUUCUGGUUUUUCUGUACCACCUAGCCAUUCUGCCCAGCGAAACAAUGUAUGAUUUCAUAACUCCAUAAUGAAAAUA
rnacentral:misc_RNA from 1 species